rnacentral:lncRNA from 1 species
UAAUGGUGCUAUAACUUUCUUAAAAGUUCUUUACUUUUGCUGCUUAUGUAACUGUCUAUCACUCCUUGGCUAAUAUGCAUGUAUCACAUCCUUGUCUCAAUAAUUAUUUUUUUCCUUUUUUCUUUAUUUAAUAAAAUGAAAGGUCCUAGCAACAAGGUGAAAUGAUAAUUGAAGAAAAGAUUUCUACAAAGAAAGAAGUGUUAAUUUAAUUGUCUCCUGCUUGUACAGUGUUUCUUUCUCAUCAUCUACUUUCUUCUUACUGAUGUGUUCUCUCCAGCUGAUCCAUGGAUUUCUUGAAACUGAUACUCUGUGGGAAGCAGUAGUGCUGAACAGAGCAAGUUGGAUGCCUUGCCUACAGCCCCUUUUUUCUAUAAAGUCCUCCCCAACCUGA